rnacentral:tRNA from 1 species
GGCAGAGUGGCUGAGUGUCUAAGCACUGGAUUGUAGCUCCAUUGAUAGAGGUUUAAUUCCUCUCUCUGUCA